rnacentral:rRNA from 1 species
GCCUGAGAAAUGGCUACCACAUCUACGGAUGGCAGCAGGCGCGAAAAUUGCCCAAUCCCGAUUCGGGGAGGCAGUGACAAGAAAUAACAAUCCGGGACUAGUUCCAGGAAUUGCAAUGAGAACAAUUUAAAAACCUUAUCGAGCAACAACUGGAGGGCAAGUUCUGGUGCCAGCAGCCGCGGUAAUUCCAGCUCCAGUAGCGUAUAUUAAAGUUGCUGCAGUUAAAAAGCUCGUAGUUGAAUUUCUGCCUGUUAGAGUCGAAUCUUCACAGAUGAGAUUUCUACGGGCAUCUGCCUGCAAUCAUACGUUCGUUCUUCACUGAAUGGCUAUGUGAGCAGACGUUUUACCUUGAGAAAAUUAGAGUGUUCCAGGCAGGCUUCAGCCGGAAUACAUUAGCAUGGAAUAAUGGAAUAGGACUGGGGACUAUUUAUUGGUUUGAGGCUCCAGUAAUGAUUAAUAGAAACAGUCGGGGGCAUUAGUACUUGACAGUCAGAGGUGAAAUUCUUGGAUUUGUCAAAGACUAACUAAUGCGAAAGCAUUUGCCAAGCAUGUUUUCAUUAAUCAAGAACGAAAGUUAGGGGAUCAAAGACGAUUAGAUACCGUCCUAGUCUUAACUGUAAACGAUUCCAUCUUGGAAUUGGAUGAGUAAUUAUGACUUAUCCAGCGCCAUAAGAGAAAUCAAAGUCUUUGGGUUCUUGGUGGAGUACGAUCGCAAGAUUGAAACUUAAAGGAAUUGACGGUUUUGCACACCAUGGAGUGGAGCCUGUGGCUUAAUUUGACUCAACACUGGGAAACUCAUCAGGACAAAAAAGUUUUAGGAUUGACAGAUUGAUAGCUCUUUCUUGAUUGACUUAAUGGUGGUGCAUGGCCGUUCUUAGUUGGUGGAGUGAUUUGUCUGGUUAAUUCCGAUAACGAACGAGACCUUAACCUGCUAACUAGUGCAACGUGAACAACGUGAGUCACUUCUUAGAGGGACAUUGUGUGUUAACACAAGGAAGUUUAAGGCAAUAACAGGUCUGUGAUGCCCAAUCACUAGU